AGAAGGGAUCUCUAAAAAUCUCUAAAAUAUUCUAGUAUUCUGAACAAAUUAUAUGGGGGUGCAAGUGCAAGGGCUGUUAGGCUUAUCUAACGAAAGAAGCUGUUAAGCGUAAUCUCUCUGCAGACAACAAAGGCCUUUUUUUGUUUAAAUUUUUAUAGAGCAGUUAUGGGAACUGAAUCUGGUAUUUAUUUUUUUAUUUUUCCUCGAUGAGAACCAAUGCGAAAUAAUUUGGUGUUAUGUAAACAAAACCUGGACGGUGACUUUUAGGGUUUUACGAACCGUGAAAUGCCGAUGUACUUUACAUGGUGAGGCAUUUCCGGUAUCUGAAGGUCUUGUGAUAUUCGUAGGCAUAGUCGUAAAACAAAUAGUCAUAUAAUAAUGAAUUUAUGCAAAAUGCAUAGUCAUAUAAUAUGCCGUUAAACUUAAAUACAUAUUGUUAUUUGAUUCGUGAGUGCUGUGGCCAAAAAAUGCAACUCGUAAAGAACGAUGUGAUGGACACAGAUGGACAAUAUACACACGUGUUGGAGGCUGGUUGGAGAUCAAAAAUUUCGAUUGGUCUCAACAUCGUCUUUAUAGGAAGGAUAAUCCGGUUUUUCUUGAAACGAUGCCGACUUCUAUGGGCGUUGGCUUCUCUCCGUAUGAGCAAUCACAUGGCCACCGGCCCAUUGCGGGAGCAACAACACGUUCCAGCUGUUUCCCUAAAUGUUUUCUAUUUUCGCACCGCUGAAAUCGUUCUGAAGGUGAUGUGAAGGUGAGUAACAUGUGAAUAACAAACCAGUUCAGUAAUCAUUCCCUCAUUUCAGGACACCAUGAAACCGAAAAAAAAAAGAAAAAAUUUUGAAGGGCGAGCAGUUCCAGUUUGAUUUUUACGAGUGUGGCUAUUUGAAAUUGCCAGUCACCAUGAGUCCAUGACUAUUUCGAAUUCAUAAGGUGAAGUUUAAAAGUAAACAGAAUUUCCUACACGAUUCGAAGGCUAUUCAUUUCGUUGCUCUCAAUAUCCAACAUCAUGGUUGUUCGAAGUGUGACACUCAUCGUCCUUUACUUAAUUCAAGUAGUACGACAAACAGGUUUUUUCAAUGAAAACAGAAAUGCCUAAUUGACUAUUAAAAAUGAUUACGUAAGAAGUAAAGUAAUAAAAUUGUAACUAAA